AUACGGAGGAUGCGAGCGUUAUCCGGAUUUAUCGGGUUUAAAGGGAGCGUAGGCGGGAGCUUAAGUCAGCGGUUAAAUGGUGCGGCUCAACCGUGCCCUGCCGUUGAAACUGGGUUUCUUGAGAGUGCAAGAGGCGGAUGGAAUUCAUGGUGUAGCGGUGAAAUGCUUAGAUAUCAUGAAGAACUUCGAUUGCGAAGGCAGUCCGCUGGGGCACGUCUGACGCUGAUGCUCGAAGGUGCGGGAAUCAAACAGGAUUAGAUACCCUGGUAGUCCGCACGGUAAACGAUGAUUACCCGCUGUCGGCGGCAGACAGUCGGCGGCCAAGCGAAAGCGAUAAGUAAUCCACCUGGGGAGUACGCCGGCAACGGUGAAACUCAAAGGAAUUGACGAAG
rnacentral:rRNA from 1 species